rnacentral:rRNA from 1 species
AUACGGAGGACGCGAGCGUUAUCCGGAUUCAUUGGGUUUAAAGGGUGCGCAGGCGGCCGUGCAAGUCAGCGGUGAAAGCCCGGGGCCCAACCCCGGAAGUGCCGUUGAUACUGCAUGGCUUGAAUGCGGUCGAGGCGGGCGGAACGUGGCGGGUAGCGGUGAAAUGCGUAGAUAUCGGGAGGAACACCAGUGGCGAAGGCGACUUCCUGGCAAAAUACUGACGCUCAUGUGCGAAAGCUAGGGUAGCGAACGGGAUUAGAUACCCCGGUAGUCCUAGCCGUAAACGAUGGAUACUAGGUGUGGGUGUCGCAGGGCAUCCGUGCCGCAGCUAACGCGUUAAGUAUCCCGCCUGGGGACUACGGUCGCAAGACUGAAACUCAAAGGAAUUGACGGGG